GAAGGGUGCAAGCGUUACUCGGAAUUACUGGGCGUAAAGCGUGCGUAGGCGGUUCGUUAAGUCUGUCGUGAAAGCCCUGGGCUCAACCUGGGAAUUGCGAUGGAUACUGGCGAGCUAGAGUACGGUAGAGGAUGGUGGAAUUCCCGGUGUAGCGGUGAAAUGCGUAGAGAUCGGGAGGAACACCCGUGGCGAAGGCGGCCAUCUGGACCAGUACUGACGCUGAGGCACGAAAGCGUGGGGAGCAAACAGGAUUAGAUACCCUGGUAGUCCACGCCCUAAACGAUGCGAACUGGAUGUUGGGCACACUUAGGUGCUCAGUGUCGAAGCUAACGCGUUAAGUUCGCCGCCUGGGGAGUACGGUCGCAAGACUG
rnacentral:rRNA from 1 species